rnacentral:tRNA from 1 species
UCCGAUAUGGUGUAGUGGCUAACAUUAUGCCUCUCAUGGUUAAUUCUUGGAACGUACGCGAUAGCCUGGGGUUCGAUUCCCCGUGUCGGAA